GACUCCCUUGCGCAUGCGUCUAUAUCCAGUACUUCAUAUAAUCAAUAUAUAACAACUGCCCCCUCUUUAAGUGUCCCUGCACUGUAAACGUUAAACCCGUAACAUAACACAACAAUCUACCUAAGUUCAAAAUGUUUUUACUAUUCAGUAAACCUUUUAGGAGGUUUACGCUCACGUAAAGGAUACCUUCUUGUGGACUCGUUUGGUGUAACGUUAAUAAGUAAGUCCAUUUUAC